rnacentral:rRNA from 1 species
GUCGAGCGGUAGCACAGAGAGCUUGCUCUCGGGUGACGAGCGGCGGACGGGUGAGUAAUGUCUGGGAAACUGCCUGAUGGAGGGGGAUAACUACUGGAAACGGUAGCUAAUACCGCAUAACGUCGCAAGACCAAAGUGGGGGACCUUCGGGCCUCAUGCCAUCAGAUGUGCCCAGAUGGGAUUAGCUAGUAGGUGGGGUAACGGCUCACCUAGGCGACGAUCCCUAGCUGGUCUGAGAGGAUGACCAGCCACACUGGAACUGAGACACGGUCCAGACUCCUACGGGAGGCAGCAGUGGGGAAUAUUGCACAAUGGGCGCAAGCCUGAUGCAGCCAUGCCGCGUGUGUGAAGAAGGCCUUCGGGUUGUAAAGCACUUUCAGCGGGGAGGAAGGCGUUAAGGUUAAUAACCUUGUCGAUUGACGUUACCCGCAGAAGAAGCACCGGCUAACUCCGUGCCAGCAGCCGCGGUAAUACGGAGGGUGCAAGCGUUAAUCGGAAUUACUGGGCGUAAAGCGCACGCAGGCGGUCUGUCAAGUCGGAUGUGAAAUCCCCGGGCUCAACCUGGGAACUGCAUUCGAAACUGGCAGGCUAGAGUCUUGUAGAGGGGGGUAGAAUUCCAGGUGUAGCGGUGAAAUGCGUAGAGAUCUGGAGGAAUACCGGUGGCGAAGGCGGCCCCCUGGACAAAGACUGACGCUCAGGUGCGAAAGCGUGGGGAGCAAACAGGAUUAGAUACCCUGGUAGUCCACGCCGUAAACGAUGUCGAUUUGGAGGUUGUGCCCUUGAGGCGUGGCUUCCGGAGCUAACGCGUUAAAUCGACCGCCUGGGGAGUACGGCCGCAAGGUUAAAACUCAAAUGAAUUGACGGGGGCCCGCACAAGCGGUGGAGCAUGUGGUUUAAUUCGAUGCAACGCGAAGAACCUUACCUGGUCUUGACAUCCACAGAACUUUCCAGAGAUGGAUUGGUGCCUUCGGGAACUGUGAGACAGGUGCUGCAUGGCUGUCGUCAGCUCGUGUUGUGAAAUGUUGGGUUAAGUCCCGCAACGAGCGCAACCCUUAUCCUUUGUUGCCAGCGGUUAGGCCGGGAACUCAAAGGAGACUGCCAGUGAUAAACUGGAGGAAGGUGGGGAUGACGUCAAGUCAUCAUGGCCCUUACGACCAGGGCUACACACGUGCUACAAUGGCAUAUACAAAGAGAAGCGACCUCGCGAGAGCAAGCGGACCUCAUAAAGUAUGUCGUAGUCCGGAUUGGAGUCUGCAACUCGACUCCAUGAAGUCGGAAUCGCUAGUAAUCGUAGAUCAGAAUGCUACGGUGAAUACGUUCCCGGGCCUUGUACACACCGCCCGUCACACCAUGGGAGUGGGUUGCAAAAGAAGUAGGUAGCUUAACCUUCGGGAG